rnacentral:rRNA from 1 species
UACGAAGGGGGCUAGCGUUGCUCGGAAUGACUGGGCGUAAAGGGCGCGUAGGCGGCGGACACAGUCAGAUGUGAAAUUCCCGGGCUCAACCUGGGGGGCUGCAUUUGAUACGUGUUUGCUUGAGUGGGGAAGAGGGUCGUGGAAUUCCCAGUGUAGAGGUGAAAUUCGUAGAUAUUGGGAAGAACACCAGUGGCGAAGGCGGCGACCUGGACAGAUAUUGACGCUGAGGUGCGAAAGCGUGGGGAGCAAACAGG